AUGAUGACCCUUCACGGUCUGUAUACUAAUUCCUAAACCUCUGUGAACCGUUGGCCCUUCGGGCCGCUAAUUUACAAACAUGGUGUAAAUGAACGUCAUAGUAUCAUAACAAAACA
rnacentral:misc_RNA from 1 species